GACGUAGUUGACUCGUGGCUCGAGGACGACGCUGGCGGCGUGCUUAACACAUGCAAGUCGAGCGGAAAGGCCCUUUCGGGGGUACUCGAGCGGCGAACGGGUGAGUAACACGUGAGUAAUCUGCCCCGUACUUCGGGAUAGCCACCGGAAACGGUGAUUAAUACCGGAUAUGACCUGCCUUCGCAUGUUGGUGGGUGGAAAGUUUUUUCGGUACGGGAUGUGCUCGCGGCCUAUCAGCUUGAUGGUGAGGUAAUGGCUCACCAUGGCUUCGACGGGUAGCCGGCCUGAGAGGGUGACCGGUCACACUGGGACUGAGACACGGCCCAGACUCCUACGGGAGGCAGCAGUGGGGAAUAUUGGACAAUGGGCGGAAGCCUGAUCCAGCAACGCCGCGUGAGGGAUGACGGCCUUCGGGUUGUAAACCUCUUUCGCCUGUGACGAAGCGCAAGUGACGGUAACAGGUAAAGAAGCACCGGCCAACUACGUG
rnacentral:rRNA from 1 species